CUCUGGGGAUGCUCCAAGAGCAGCAGAGCUUCCCAGGGGUUCUGUGCUUUGAGCUUUUCCCUGUGUGUGACACCAGGAGCCUGGACUUGGAUUUUGCCCCACUUGCCUUCUCCUAGACCAUGGCAUGAACAGUUUUCUGGACAUAAACUCAGGAACAAUAUCAGAUAACCAGCUAACAUCAGUGAAAGGACUCAGUUCCUUCACUGUGAGGAGCUUAGCCUUGCAAGAAACCUCCUGCUAAUCCAUAUUCAGAGAAGCCCUGAGGGAGCUAUCAAGACUAUUCUGAGAGUAAAUUAUCCACCCAGGAGAGGAUUACAAGAUCCUGGCUCUGCUCGAGAUCCCCAGCCAGACCAUGCAAGUAUUUGAAAAAGAUCAGGAAAAGAUGAAGGAGCCACCUGGCUUGUCACUCCUGCUGACACCAGGUUGGAACACCAGCUGGGAUCACCCUGUCACAGUCUGCACCCCUGCGACUGAGGAGAAAAGUUCAGCUGCCAAGAUAUUCAAUCUGGAACUCCUCAUUAAAAAAAAAAAAAAUCCAUUAGAAGUUAUAUCUUUUAUAAAUGGCCUAUAUAUUAUGACAUAAUUUAAUUUAGUGCUCUGAAUGUAUUAUGGCCACCAUAACAGUUUUACAUUUAUAGAUUUCAUAGUUUUGCUUCUAUAA